rnacentral:rRNA from 1 species
CAGCCGCCGCGGUAAGACAGAGGGUGCAAGCGUUAUCCGGAAUGAUUGGGCGUAAAGCGUGCGCAGGCGGUUAUGUAAGACAGUUGUGAAAUCCCCGGGCUCAACCUGGGAACUGCAUCUGUGACCGCAUAGCUAGAGUACGGUAGAGGGGGAUGGAAUUCCGCGUGUAGCAGUGAAAUGCGUAGAUAUGCGGAGGAACACCGAUGGCGAAGGCAAUCCCCUGGACCUGUACUGACGCUCAUGCACGAAAGCGUGGGGAGCAAACAGGAUUAGAUACCCCAGUAGUCCCUGUCUCUUAUAC